ensembl:ncRNA T02E9.19 ncRNA
GGGAAAAUAUGGAAUUUAUUAUUUUUCGGGGGCUCAGGAGCUGUCGAAGCGCAGGAAAUAUUUAUGAGCUGAGAAAAAUAGGCAACGAAAACCGCCGAAGGAUACUUGUGGAAAAUGGAAAGAGGUUGAGUAAUGGGCAUUGCAGAAACUGGCCAGAAUAGGAAUUGGAAUGGUUGGUGACGGAGA